rnacentral:rRNA from 1 species
UACGGAAGGUCCGGGCGUUAUCCGGAUUUAUUGGGUUUAAAGGGAGCGUAGGCCGGAGAUUAAGCGUGUUGUGAAAUGUAGAUGCUCAACAUCUGCACUGCAGCGCGAACUGGUUUCCUUGAGUACGCACAAAGUGGGCGGAAUUCGUGGUGUAGCGGUGAAAUGCUUAGAUAUCACGAAGAACUCCGAUUGCGAAGGUAGCUCACUGGAGCGCAACUGACGCUGAAGCUCGAAAGUGCGGGUAUCGAACAGG